ensembl:snRNA
GUAUUGUAUGAAAGGAGAAGUUAACACUCCCCUUGACAAGGAUAGAAGGGGCCCUUGGGCUUAACAACAUGCAUAUGUUUAACACAUUGCUACCUACUUUGUGGCAUCUAACCACUAUUUUUG